GGGUCACUCCCGGAGCCACGCCUGUCCGAGGGUCGGCAAACUGUCAUCGCCUUCCGCUCUUCUGCCUUCGGCUCGUGAAGGAGAGCGGGAUGCGCAUUGGGCGCGUCGCGGGGAGACUUCGGUUUUCCCCCCGUCCGCCAAGAGAUGCAGCCAGGGGCAUGUACCCUACCUGCGGCACUCUGGUUCCGCGAGCGCGGCGCGGACUGGAGACGACCUCUGGGUGGUCCUCCCGUCUUCCGAGAGGGAGACGGCGGGGAGCUCCGCUCACGGGGGCGGGACCGAGGAGGAGACGUUGCGCGGAUCGUCGCUCGCACUCCUUGGUCCGACAAACGCCCCCAUUUGACCGAGCAGUCUCCGCUAGUCGGAGGACCACGGAAACCGGAGGCCUGUCGCGGAAGGUAGCCCGCACGGAAACGAAAGGAGCCACUCGUGGCGCCGUUCGCUCUCCGACCUCGGAUCAGACGAGACUACCCGCUGAACUUAAGCAUAUCAGUAAGCGGAGGAAAAGAAACUAACAAGGAUUCCCCUAGUAACGGCGAGUGAAGCGGGAAGAGCCCAGCACCGAAUCCCCCGGCUUAGGGUCGGCGGGAAAUGUGGUGUAUAGGAAGCCGAUUGGGGCGGCGACGAGCGUCCAAGUCCUCCUGAUCGUGGCCUUGCCCAGAGAGGGUGUCAGGCCCGUGAGGCGCGCCAGUCGACCGUCUCUUCGAGCUUCUUUGGAGUCGGGUUGUUUGGGAAUGCAGCCCAAAGGUGGGUGGUAAACUCCAUCUA
rnacentral:rRNA from 1 species